UUGACCUCGAAUCAGGUAGGAAUACCCGCUGAACUUAAGCAUAUCAAUAAGCGGAGGAAAAGAAACCAACCGGGAUUACCUCAGUAACGGCGAGUGAAGCGGUAACAGCUCAAAUUUGAAAUCUGGCUCUUGCGGAGUCCGAGUUGUAAUUUGUAGAAGAUGCUUUGGGUUGUGGGUUCGGCCUAAGUUCCUUGGAACAGGACGUCAUAGAGGGUGAGAAUCCCGUAUGUGGCCGAGGCCCGCGCCUAUGUAAAGCUCUUUCAACGAGUCGAGUUGUUUGGGAAUGCAGCUCAAAAUGGGUGGUAAAUUUCAUCUAAAGCUAAAUAUGGGCCAGAGACCGAUAGCGCACAAGUAGAGUGAUCGAAAGAUGAAAAGCACUUUGGAAAGAGAGUUAAACAGUACGUGAAAUUGUUGAAAGGGAAGCGCUUGCAACCAGACUUGGGCGCUGCCGAUCACCUUGAGUUUUCUCGAGUGCACUCGACAGCGCACAGGCCAGCAUCGGUUCGGGUGGCUGGAUAAAGGCCGUAGGAAUGUGGCUCUCUUCGGGGAGUGUUAUAGCCUACGGUGCCAUGCAGCCCAGCCGGACCGAGGACCGCGCCUUCGGGCUAGGAUGCUGGCGUAAUGGUUGUAAGCGACCCGUCUUGAAACACGGACCAAGGAGUCUAACAUCUAUGCGAGUGUUUGGGUGGUAAACCCAUACGCGGAAUGAAAGUGAACGUAGGUGAGAACCCCUUUGGGGCGCAUCAUCGACCGAUCCUGAUGUCUUCGGAUGGAUUUGAGUAAGAGCAUAGCUGUUGGGACCCGAAAGAUGGUGAACUAUGCCUGAAUAGGGUGAAGCCAGAGGAAACUCUGGUGGAGGCUCGCAGCGGUUCUGACGUGCAAAUCGAUCGUCAAAUUUGGGCAUA
rnacentral:rRNA from 1 species